GUGUGACUGCGUACCUUUUGUAUAAUGGGUCAGCGACUUAUAUUCUGUAGCAAGGUUAACCGAAUAGGGGAGCCGGAGGGAAACCGAGUCUUAACCGGGCGUUAAGUUGCAGGGUAUAGACCCGAAACCCGGUGAUCUAGCCAUGGGCAGGUUGAAGGUUGGGUAACACUAACUGGAGGACCGAACCGACUAAUGUUGAAAAAUUAGCGGAUGACCUGUGGCUGGGGGUGAAAGGCCAAUCAAACCGGGAGAUAGCUGGUUCUCCCCGAAAGCUAUUUAGGUAGCGCCUCGUGAAUUCAUCUCCGGGGGUAGAGCACUGUUUCGGCUAGGGGGCCAUCCCGGCUUACCAACCCGAUGCAAACUGCGAAUACCGGAGAAUGUUAUCACGGGAGACACACGGCGGGUGCUAACGUCCGUCGUGAAGAGGGAAACAACCCAGACCGCCAGCUAAGGUCCCAAAGUCAUGGUUAAGUGGGAAACGAUGUGGGAAGGCCCAGACAGCCAGGAUGUUGGCUUAGAAGCAGCCAUCAUUUAAAGAAAGCGUAAUAGCUCACUGGUCGAGUCGGCCUGCGCGGAAGAUGUAACGGGGCUAAACCAUGCACCGAAGCUGCGGCAGCGAC
rnacentral:rRNA from 1 species